GUCUAUUCUUUACUCUUAUUAUCUUAAUUAUUAUUUUCAGUGUAUAAUAAGCCAAUAAUAUUACUAGUUUGUUGAAUUAUUUUUCAAUUAGUAUGAAAUGGGAAGAAUCUUGUGGCUGAACAUCAGAAUGUCUUAUAAAACUUAUGUAAAAAAUAUAAAAUUUCCAUUCACUUCCUAGGAAGGAUUCAGAAAAUGCUGCCCAGUCAAGGUUGAGAGCCACUGAGGUACAUGGCAGAUGCUCAACACAGUGGUGGAUGAAUCCUAGAGCUAAUUAGGAAAAAGUCCUCUUUUCCCGUUCCACAGGCUAAGCAGGGGUUUGCAGUCUAGGAAGAGAAGCAGACCAGUGAACAGACAAUCCCAUUACGGUCACUGGUGCUGUGAUAGAGGAGACAAGUGUUGCUACAAAAAUACGGAGCAGUUACUGCCAAUUACCUCCAGAGAUAGAAGAACGCAUCGUGAAAGAGGAAUUUACAAAAUACUGAGAGGCAUGCUUCCCUCACCUGGAAGGGACACAGCAGGCUGGGACUCUUCUGAGAUCCGUGGGAGACAGAGGAGCUGGAGGACUUCGUUCUCUUUGGUACCAGGCAGAAGCCAAGCGACUAUUGGCAGGGAAGACGACUGUACUCAGAAACUGGGCAAACAUCUUUUAUGAAUACUCCAAGUGGCAGAAUCCUGUUGAUUUCUUUGCAGAGGGGCCGCGCCUGGACUUGCUCUUGGUGGCAUUGCUUGCUCAUGCCAGCACAUCAGAACGGAAAGGUCCCUGUGCGACUGGCCUCAACUGUUCCCAGUCCUUGCAGUUGGGAGAGAAAUGCAGUUGGCACGAGGAGAGUACCUAGAGGAGAGAGACUUCUCCCACAUGGCUCCUAGAAGGGUAAGGGCUUACCAGUUGUUUGUUUGUUUGCUGGGGCAAGAAAAAAAAAAAAAAACACUUGCAUAUAUUCAAUGAUAAUUUUUUUUUUUUAAAGAUUUUAUUUAUUUGACAGAGAGAGAUAUAGCGAGAGAGGGAACACAAGCAGGGGGAGUGGGAG